CAAAGGUCUGACUAGCAGCAGUGAGGUGGAGCUUCUCAGAGAGAAAGUGUACGCGUCCCUGGAGGCCUAUUGCAAACAAAAAUACCCAGAUCAGCAGGGGAGGUUUGCCAAGCUCCUUCUCCGACUUCCUGCAUUGCGUUCCAUUGGCCUUAAGUGUCUGGAGCACCUUUUCUUCUUUAAACUGAUUGGAGACACCCCCAUUGACACUUUCCUAAUGGAGAUGCUGGAGUCGCCCCACUAGCUGCGUCAGAGGAAGAAUGGGAGAUGGGUUUUUUCUACCCUAGGUCCUGGAGAUAACUGUGACUGCACUUUUUCUUCCCAGGGGAAUUACAACGAUUGGUCAGCCUCUGGUCUGGGGGUAUUUUUUUAAUUUUUUUUAGUUCAGAUAUUACAUUUAUUUUUCUCUUGACUAUCUCUUAAGUGCACCAUAGAGUCUAGAGAC